CCGUAGCCCAAGAGAUCGGGAUAACACCUGGAAACAGAUGCUAAUACCGGAUAACAACAGAUGAUGCCUAUCAACUGUUUAAAAGAUGGUUCUGCUAUCACUCUUGGAUGGACCUGCGGUGCAUUAGCUAGUUGGUAGGGUAACGGCCUACCAAGGCGAUGAUGCAUAGCCGAGUUGAGAGACUGAUCGGCCACAUUGGGACUGAGACGCGGCCCAAACUCCUACGGGAGGCAGCAGCG
rnacentral:rRNA from 1 species